UUUAGCACGAUGAGGAAGUUUUUUAAUAUCGUUUGAGAUCGAAAGAUCUUUGAAAUUCUAACAAGCUAUAAGGUCCUUUUCAUUCUGAGUGCUAU